rnacentral:rRNA from 1 species
UACGAAGGGGACUAGCGUUGUUCGGAAUCACUGGGCGUAAAGGGCGCGUAGGCGGCCUGUUAAGUCGGACGUGAAAUCCCUCGGCUCAACCGGGGAACUGCGUCCGAUACUGGCGGGCUUGAAUUCAGGAGAGGGAUGUGGAAUUCCAGGUGUAGCGGUGAAAUGCGUAGAUAUCAAGAGGAACACCAGUGGCGAAGGCGAGUCCCUGGACGAUACCUGACACUGAGGCACGAAAGCUAGGGGAGCAAACAGG